rnacentral:rRNA from 1 species
GACGAACGCUGGCGGCGUGCCUAAUACAUGCAAGUCGAGCGCAGGAAACCGUCUGAACCCUUCGGGGGGACGACGGCGGAAUGAGCGGCGGACGGGUGAGUAACACGUAAAGGACCUGCCCACGGGUCUGGGAUAACCACGAGAAAUCGGGGCUAAUACCGGACGGGUCAUCGGACCGCAUGGUCCGAGGAUGAAAGGCGCUCCGGCGUCGCCCGUGGAUGGCUUUGCGGUGCAUUAGCUAGUUGGUGGGGUAACGGCCCACCAAGGCGACGAAGCAUAGCCGACCUGAGAGGGUGAUCGGCCACACUGGGACUGAGACACGGCCCAGACUCCUACGGGAGGCAGCAGUAGGGAAUCUUCCACAAUGGACGAAAGUCUGAUGGAGCAACGCCGCGUGAACGAUGAAGGCCCUCGGGUCAUAAAGUUCUGUUGUAAGGGAAGAACAAGUGCCGCAGGCAAUGGCGGCACCUUGACGGUACCUUGCGAGAAAGCCACGGCUAACUACGUGCCAGCCGCCGCAGUAACAC